UCCCGAGUGCUUGCACUCAAUUGGAAAGAGGAGUGGCGGACGGGUGAGUAACACGUGGGUAACCUACCCAUCAGAGGGGGAUAACACUUGGAAACAGGUGCUAAUACCGCAUAACAGUUUAUGCCGCAUGGCAUAAGAGUGAAAGGCGCUUUCGGGUGUCGCUGAUGGAUGGACCCGCGGUGCAUUAGCUAGUUGGUGAGGUAACGGCUCACCAAGGCCACGAUGCAUAGCCGACCUGAGAGGGUGAUCGGCCACACUGGGACUGAGACACGGCCCAGACUCCUACGGGAGGCAGCAGUAGGGAAUCUUCGGCAAUGGACGAAAGUCUGACCGAGCAACGCCGCGUGAGUGAAGAAGGUUUUCGGAUCGUAAAACUCUGUUGUUAGAGAAGAACAAGGACGUUAGUAACUGAACGUCCCCUGACGGUAUCUAACCAGAAAGCCACGGCUAACUACGUGCCAGCAGCCGCGGUAAUACGUAGGUGGCAAGCGUUGUCCGGAUUUAUUGGGCGUAAAGCGAGCGCAGGCGGUUUCUUAAGUCUGAUGUGAAAGCCCCCGGCUCAACCGGGGAGGGUCAUUGGAAACUGGGAGACUUGAGUGCAGAAGAGGAGAGUGGAAUUCCAUGUGUAGCGGUGAAAUGCGUAGAUAUAUGGAGGAACACCAGUGGCGAAGGCGGCUCUCUGGUCUGUAACUGACGCUGA
rnacentral:rRNA from 1 species